rnacentral:rRNA from 1 species
AAACUUUGGAGAGAGAGUCAAAGAGACCGCGAAACCGUUGGGAGGGAAACGAACGUGGCCGUGAAGACUCCCUUCGGGUUCAGGGAGCUCGGGUGUGGGGCGUUGCGAGGCGAGAGACCCAUUCGGGCUCCGUCGAGUAAGUCCCUCCGGGCUUCCGCAUUCCCGUCUGGAGUCCGCCAACGGCGGUCGUUCGUGGUCGAAGAGGGCUGGGGGGAGGUGCCUCCUCGUCGUUCGCGGCGAGGAGAACGUACAGCCUCCGGUCCGGCAGGACCGCGAGCGGCCGAGGAGAGUUGCGACCUUUCGCACGGCGUAGCGCAGGCUCCGCAGGGGCCGGGUCGCUGCUGCUCUUGCGUGCUCCGCGUCGAGCCACUGCCCGCAGUGACCGGCGACGGCUAGCGCGCUUGGGCGGGAGACGGACCACGAUUUGCGCUUCGGUCGUUGGCG